rnacentral:rRNA from 1 species
GCAAAGAAAUUAUUUACAGGAUAUACAAAGCAACGACAUGUUGAUAUGAUUGGAUUGUAUGCACGGCGGAUUUGUAAUACUUAGUGUGAGUGCUGCUAGUUAAUAAAGAUGGGAUUCACAGGAAAACAAAAAUAAUCAAUCAGCAGUCACCAUACGUAUGUGCAUAAUAAUUGUACAUAUAUAAUCUGACUUGAUUUCUUUCUUAAAAAAUAUAUUAUCAACAUGGCUAGAGACUAUAUAGAUGGUCUACUCUGGUAUGUAGGUACAUGUGCAUCCAUCUUUUGCAUGCCGGCAAUCGGACUGAGAAAGCUAGACACAAAAAUACUAGCAAGUAUAUAUACUGAGAAAGCUAGACACAAACAUAACCGCCUAGCUUUGGUAAGGUACAUGGCUUUGUUUCACUCACUGCAGGAAAGUGGGCUGCUCUUGU